rnacentral:lncRNA from 1 species
GGCUGGAAUUCAGAUUAAAAGAGGCCUGUUUACCUCCGGACUCCCUGGGACAGCCCCAAGGCUCAGAGCUGCGGCUUCUUCCUGAGGGAGAACAGGAUGCCUUUGUAAGGAGGGGAGAGGCUCCAAGAGGGUAAAGCUGUUGGGGACUGCUCCUAAAAAUCUAGUUUAUGAAUUGACUGGAUGAAACGCUACAUGGUAAACCAAUGAACACAUCUCACAUGCUGAAGUAUUUUUAAGAAGGCUGUCUGGGAAAUCAUGCCACUAUCUUCAGGAGGGGUCAGGAGUGACUUGAAGUGUGGGCAUCUCUUUAAAUCUGCACACCUUGGCUGGGCAUUGGGGACAUGUGCUGUAAGCUAUAAAGAAACAAAGUCCCCCGGGAAAUCGUGCUGGUCAUCCCUUCGAGUGGAGCCCAGAGGCGGGAAAACAUCUGAGCCAAACUUUCUCUUGACUCUGCUCAGAACUCACUGUGGGGUUCUGGGCAUUUCAUUUCCUCACAUGGGCAAUGUUGUGGGCCAUCUUGAUUCCUGGCCCUCCACCUCAAAGAGUAGCCCCCUGCAGUCGCUAAGUAAAGUGCGGAAAGCACACAGUGCAGUCAAUCCAGGCUGCGCUGGCAUCUCUUGGGGAGCCUGAAACCAUGCAUGCCGAUGCCUGAGCUCUAGCCCAAGAGUUCUGGUUAACCGGCCUGAGGAGGGGCCUGGACAUCUGUAUUUUGUAAAAGCCAUCCAGGUGAAUCUUAUAGAGCUAAGGGACCCGAGGUUGAGGACCACUACGCCAGAGUAGUAAGAUGAACACCAGCUCAGCAGCAGCAGCGCAGCCGCCACCACAGCAACCCCGAGAGCACCCGAAACAGUAACAGAGGAGCCAGCCUUGGCUGGGAGAGUGCCAGGAAAGGAAGAUGCUCGCUUGGAUCCAGGCUCCACCUGGCACUGGCUGGGACCACAGACUCACUCUUCAGUCAAUCAGCAGGCUAGCACACAUUUGUUCAGUGCGCGCUGUGUGCUGCACGGGGCAGCGGACGGGGCAUGCGGAGUAACAGGCCCCAGCCUCCCCCGGACACGCAGAGUCAGCAUGACAGAGGUGCGAACCGGAUACAGAGGGCACACAUUCCACCUGGGGUGUGACAGGAAAGACGAAAUAUUAUCGGGGAAGGAGCAGUGGAGGUUGUAGCGGCUGGAUAUCAUUUCAGAAGAACCUGUCAUUUUUCCAGGAGAAGAGACUGUAAGAGGAAAGUCCUGGAGGGUGCAUAGGAUGUUGCUCAUUUAGCGGGAUAAAAGCCAGUCUGCAUGAGAAAUCGCGCAUUCUGAGCACUGCAGGGGCAGUGCUGGAUUUGUUCAAGGCUGAGAAAGGAUGCCUUAUCCCGGCGAUGCGGUUCACGGCAGGGCGAGCGGCAGUGACGGGGUACUGAGCACACACCUGGGAGCCUGAGAUGGGCGACCCUCACUGGCCAACUGAUCCAUCCCACCAGACUGCAGCCUCAGUUUCUCAGCUUGUAAAAGUUAUAUGAUACUUGCUUUAGAAUAAACUCAUGGGAUGUAGAAUUCAAAAUGAUAAAUAUUUUUAUCAAGUUUCUCCCGACCCCCUAACUUUUAGGGAUUUACUUCUCCCCUUGAAAACCAGAAAUAGUGGGAGAAACAAGAGAUGUGACUCUAAUAUUACUUGUCUUUACCAACAAUGUUAAUUUCUCUCUAAGGAGCUGGGCAAGUUACAUUGUAUUUGAUUCCUGACUACUGUCUCUAAACCGAGGAUUCAAAUUGUUAGACUCAAUUCAUGACCUUGUUGGAAAUUUCCAGCAAACCCGCUGCUCAAUCACCUUAACUAGGAGAAAAUAUUUUAUGAUAUAGUGGAAACAAAUGAUAACAGUGUUGAGAGGGACAAGCUUAACACACAGAAUCCAGACUUCACACGUUCACGUGGGGGAGAUAGAAGUCGCGGAGUAGGCUGAUUUCUGAUGGCAACCUGAUUUAAUUUGCAAUAUGACUGCAUCAGUGGCUGCUCAAAAAGCUGUUUCCAACAUUUUGCAUCAAUAUAGCAGCUCUGGGAUCCUGAAGAAAUUUGUAUUUGCUGUCUAAGACCGGAAGGGUGGAGGAAUACAGGUACCCCUAAGCUAAGUAUAUUCGUGAUGAAAGACGAAUAGGUUCAUUACAGUGUUGUUUGUAAUAGGAAAAAUUGGAAACAAUUUAAAUAUGUAAAAUAAUUAAAUAAACAAUGAUACAUUCCUUUAUUCAGAUGCUGUAUGAUAUUUAAAAAUUGAGGAAGAUUGAGGUAUUGACUCAAUGAAAAAUGUCCAUGUGGUAGGAAAUGGGAAUAAUUACAGAAUGAUAUGCAAAUCAUAAUUCCGUCUUGGUAAGAACAAACAAGUCAAUCUAUGUAUACGCUGGAUGUUAGUCCAGGGACUCAGACACACAUACACCUCCUGCAGGCUGGCAGUGUGGGGCGUGCACACGUGCAGGGAUGGGUGAAUUACCAUGGGAGUGGAACAUGAAGAGGCAGGUGGUACACAUCUUCCCUUUCAGACCACUGGAGUAAUUAUAUAUGUAUUUUAAAACAAUAGACAUCUUAUACUUUUGUAAUAAAAAAGAAACAUUACCAACACAAUAGAUGUGUUUCAUCAAAUUAAAUGUGUUAUACUUUAAAACCAGCAUCAAGUUAAGACAUUUUACUUAAGGCUGCUGUGAAAACGUAUGUGUUUCUGAGUCAGGCCGGCGAGCCUAGCCGUUAGGACUUGAUGCUUUUAAGGUCUUUGUGCUCUUGCCCCAACUACUGUGUUCAUUUAAGAGAGUAUACGUCAGCCUUCUAUCUGAGCAGUCCAGCGAUUGAAGCAGUGUAUUUUAGCACUCCAGAAUAACUGUCAUUAGGCGAUCAGUAACUAGCAGCCUAUUACAUUCUAAGCAUGUUUCAAUGCCUGCUGUAAAUGUUUUGACAAUAGCCUCUGUGCACUAAUAACAUUGUGCAUAACAAAGAAUAACAGGUGCAGCCAAAAGGGAGGCAAGUUCCUCCAGGAUGUGUUUUCAAUCUAUCAUGUGUGCCUUGACUUUUCUAAAUGUGUGAAAAUAAUUAUUAUUGCCACUGUGGUGUAAUUGGUCUCUAUGGACAACCUAUGGCGGUGAAAACCUUUUGGAAUAAAGUGAGAAAUCUACCCGGAUGAGUUCAGAAGUCUGUCAAGAAGCACUCUAGUCAAAGCCUGCCCUUCUGGGGGGCCACCCUCUUUCAUCCUGAAGUGAUCCUUCCAUGGUCUUUGUGGGCACGUUAUUAGUGGGCAGGAAAAGGUAAGGAGUGUGAUGGGAAAACAAGAGGCAGGUUUUCCCUUUCAGUGAUCAUAGGCCAGCAAGCCCUCGGAUCGACCCCGUACCCACGCCGACGGAGGAGAAGUGGACACGUGCUCAGUUAGAGAAGAGAACGGCACCUGCAGUCACCUGGGGCCAGAGGAUGUGGCAGACGCAUUUCAGCAGGUCGAUUUUUUUUCCUUUUAAUGCAUAUAUUUGGAAAUCCAGUCUAAAGUGCAUUGAGCUUGGAAGAGAAGGGUGGAAUGCCUUUCCCAUCAUCAUAGUCAUUUGGAAAUCGAGGAAGGUGGAUUUUUCCUCCCAGAAUUGGUAGAGUUGCAAUUUCUGUUAGGAUAUGCAAACCAAACCCAUAUAUUUCAUGCUAUUCUCAUCAAGUGCAGUCAGCCUAAAAGUAGAAUUUAAAGAAAACUCAAGGCCGAUUCAAAAAGGUACAAUCGAAGUCCUUUUUAGCUAUCUCGGCACUGAAAUCAUGGACAGGAAGAAGAAUAUGUCUCUAUCAUUAAAUGGAAUAAAAAUUCUUGGAAAACUAAUUCGUUAAUAAUGUGAGUGGCUGCAGAGAAAAAAACUAAUCCAAAUUCAUUCACCCAACAUAAAAUAAAAUACACUGGUUCUCCUCCUCCAUUUUUGAGCUUGCUAGUUUGGGGAGGUUCAUUUUACAUAGUUUUAUGAACAUAAGAUAAAUGUAGCUUUCUGAUUAGAUACAAGCUUAUGGUUCUUUCUCUGUCUCUGUCUCUGUCUCUCUCCUUCUUGGUAUAAGUCACUUCAUCUCAGUUACUCUAACAAGAAUUCAUAGUCUUUGCAAACCCUAGUUUUUAAAUCUGUGUCUGAAACCAAGUAGAGUGCUGGCACUUUAAAAAUCCUCAUUGGCUGAAUCUUCUCCCCUAUGUAAUUCUGGUUCAUCUACACUGGAGAGUGCCAGGCAAGUUCUUCGACUCUAGCAUCUCCUUCAUGCAUUGAAUCCUCUGGUAUAAUAGACAUGAAUGCUCUAUUGCGUGGCUGUAAUUACUGGGUUUGCGGGCUCUGACUCCUUAGACUGUUUAAUAAAAUUUAAAAGUGUAACACAUUUUGCUGCAGAAAAUACCCCCAUAUGUUUCUCCUGGCUGUUGCGUUAUGAAUUCUUAGCUCUGACUUAGAUCACUCUCACUCUUCGGCACUCCUGUAUCAUUGAUGCAAGAAGAGUAGUGGAAAGUCAAACAAGAUAAAAUGACAGAUGAAGGAUUAAUGGUGACUGAGGACACAGCACUAUACAGAGUAAGGGUUCAAUUCAUAUUGAAUAGAUGGAAAGAAGUAUUCAGGGUUUUGGACUCCAGUCCUGUGGGGUGUGCACUUAAUUGUACUCGGUUUAGUGAGGCUUGAAGGGAAAUCAAGUUUCUGUUUCAGGGAGCUAGUUCAGGGGAACUAAUCAUUUCUGCAGAAAAGAGAGCAGAGACGCCUACUCUGACUGCAGGUGACAUCUCUCUGGACACGUUCUCAGAAACCCUGCACCAGGAAUUGAGUUGUCUUGGAUUCCGACGUGCCUGGUCUGACUCAUGGAAAAUAAUCUAUAAAUUCUACCUUGCUACUGAGCAUCGGAAGUUUGAUUCUAUGUGUCAAUUUCUAUAAGUAUUACUUCUAGAAACACAGAAAUGAAUUAUUUAAUACAUCUGUAGCACAAGUCCUUGGAGAGGAAGCAAGAAUUCAGCAGUUGAACCCAAUUAAAAUUCUUUCAGGAAGCAAAUUCAAACUCCCUUUUGGGUUCAUGAACAAACCACAGAAUAAAAUGUUUCGAAGGCUGACUCACAUGUGUUCUUUAGUGAUUGUAACAACAUUUCCUCUCUGCAGAUUUGAAAAAAUGACUUUCUUGGGUUUGAUCAGUGGAACCCUUGAGUCCUUACUGUGCCAGGCACCACAUUGGGUUCAGGGACACAAAGGUGGAUAAGAAGGUCUCUGCCUGUGAGCUUACCUAUAUGGCAGGGUUACUAUUAAUGAAUUUCAACAAUUUAAGAUAAAUCUAUUAACAAAAUACUAUGUUCCAGCACGUGAAUGCUUACAAAAUGAGGAUGACAUAGGCAUUUUCCCCAAGGUGUUUAAUAUCAAAAGAGAGAAACAGACUCCUGAAUAUCUGAUCACAGCACAAUAUAAUUCAUGCU